rnacentral:rRNA from 1 species
GACGAACGCUGGCGGCGUGCUUAACACAUGCAAGUCGAACGGAAAGGCCCUGCUUUUGUGGGGUGCUCGAGUGGCGAACGGGUGAGUAACACGUGAGUAACCUGCCCUUGACUUUGGGAUAACUUCAGGAAACUGGGGCUAAUACCGGAUAGGAGCUCCUGCUGCAUGGUGGGGGUUGGAAAGUUUCGGCGGUUGGGGAUGGACUCGCGGCUUAUGAGCUUGUUGGUGGGGGAGUGGCUUACCAAGGCUUUGGCGGGUAGCCGGCCUGAGAGGGUGACCGGCCACAUUGGGACUGAGAUACGGCGCAGAGGCCUACGGGAGGCAGCAGUGGGGAAUAUUGCACAAUGGGCGGAAGCCUGAUGCAGCAGCGCCGCGUGCGGGAUGACGGCCUUCGGGUUGUAAACCGCUUUCGCCUGUGACGAAGCGUGAGUGACGGUAAUGGGUAAAGAAGCACCGGCUAACUACGUG